rnacentral:lncRNA from 1 species
AAAAAAAAACCUACCCAUAACACUUCAGUUUUGUACAUUCCAUGAGCAGAAGAUUAUAUAAUUUAGUAAAAUACAAACUUAUAACCCCAUCAAAGUAUCAUACUUUACAUAAAUUUCAAGAAAAUCAACCAAAACUGACCAAAACAAGACUCAUUUUUUGCAGAGUUAUCUCCCCUUUUAGUGUUAAUUUCCAUACAAUUUUGAGUUUUCCUCAAAU